rnacentral:rRNA from 1 species
CGAAAGCCUGACGGAGCAAGACCGCGUGGGGGAGGAAGGCUCUUGGGUUGUAAACCCCUUUUAUCAGGGAAGAAUCAAUGACGGUACCUGAUGAAUCAGCCUCGGCUAACUCCGUGCCAGCAGCCGCGGUAAUACGGAGGAGGCAAGCGUUAUCCGGAAUUAUUGGGCGUAAAGAGUCCGUAGGUGGUGGGGCAAGUCGGCGGUUAAAGACUGGGGCUUAACUCCGUAAAGGCAGUAGAAACUGAAUAGCUAGAGUGCCGUAGGGGUAGAGGGAAUUCCCGGUGUAGCAGUGAAAUGCGUAGAGAUCGGGAAGAACAUCGGUGGCGAAAGCGCUCUACUGGACGGCAACUGACACUCAGGGACGAAAGCUAGGGGAGCG